UAGGAUUCUCAUGAAUGGAGUCAACAUCCUUGAACGUAACAAAAUUGAAGAGACCGAAAAUGUGAAUAUUAACAAAGAUCCCAGAAGAACCUCCAAAUAUAUUAAAGGUAAACUAUGAAAUCAAUGUACAUCAGUAUCAGAUUGCAGCAUUUGUCAUUCGAGCCAAAGAGGAGAUUAUGGGAGAUGAAUGUUGAAAAUAAGUUAUAUUAAAAAAAAAUAUUACAAUCUGGGGCGGUCCGGUAGUCCAGUGGUUAGCACGUCGGCUUCACAGUGCAGAGGUACCGGGUUCGAUUCCAGCUCCGGCCUCCCUGUGUGGAGUUUGCAUGUUCUCCCCGGGCCUGCGUGGGUUUUCUCCGGGUGCUCCGGUUUCCUCCCACGUUCCAAAAACAUGCGUGGCAGGCUGAUUGAACACUCUAAAUUGUCCCUAGGUGUGAGUGUGAGCGUGGAUGGUUGUUCGUCUCUGUGUGCCCUGUGAUUGGCUGGCAACCAAUUCAGGGUGUCCCCCGCCUACUGCCCGAAGACAGCUGGGAUAGGCUCCAGCACCCCCCGCGACCCUAGUGAGGAUCAAGCGGUUCCGAAGAUGAAUGAAUGAAUGAAU